CGUGUCGUGAGAUGUUGGGUUAAGUCCCGCAACGAGCGCAACCCUUGUCCCUAGUUGCUACGCAAGAGCACUCUAGGGAGACUGCCGGUGACAAACCGGAGGAAGGUGGGGAUGACGUCAAGUCCUCAUGGCCCUUAUGGGUAGGGCUUCACACGUCAUACAAUGGUCGGAACAGAGGGUCGCCAACCCGCGAGGGGGAGCCAAUCCCAGAAAACCGAUCGUAGUCCGGAUCGCACUCUGCAACUCGAGUGCGUGAAGCUGGAAUCGCUAGUAAUCGCGGAUCAGCAUGCCGCGGUGAAUACGUUCCCGGGUCUU
rnacentral:rRNA from 1 species